UAUGAAAGCGAAUAUUUGCAUUUAGUUUCGACCUAAAAUUUGGCUUAAGCCUCUAAUUUUGAUAG
rnacentral:tRNA from 1 species